rnacentral:lncRNA from 13 species
GAAGAAUGAAGUAUGCAGACAAUUGGAGGGUGAGUGAGGCCGAGAGGAGCUUCAUUGAGUGACAGAACAGCUCUCAGGAGAUCCGAAGUAAGUAGUUCCAUUCGGCAGACUUGCAUGCUGAGUGGAAUGGAACUACUUUCGCCACAGGCAGGUCCUCGGGGCAUCUGUUGGUCUGGUUGAGGCAGGGUUUUUAUCGGUUCAGAAAGUAGGAAGUAUGUGCUGACUGGCCCAUGGGCAGCCAUGGGUGGGCCUGGAAAAAGCACUGUAAGUUCCCAUUCUGGUCUGCUGACUCCACCCUGAACUGACAGCUCAGCCCCGAUGCUUUGGGCCUUCCCUGGCUUGAAGGUGGGGCUUCACUGAGGACCCACCCCUUUCUUCCCAGAAGCCUGUCUGCCUGUUGUCACCAUCAAUCAUAUUCAUGGAGCCUAGACUGUCUGUGCUGAGCAGCGCCUGAAGGCCUGCACCGAGCUGGCUCAGUGCCCCCGUUGGCCUCACUCCCAUGCUCGUCGGCACCUAAAUUCCAAGGGGGCCAAGGCAGCAGGGGGCUGACAUGGCAGCGCCACCCCAGGCGCUCACACACCCAGCUGGGUUGCGACAGACCUGCACUCCGCCUCAAUUUUGCUCUGAAAUUGGAGCAGGCAGCAGGAGCAGGGAGAGGCCAGGCAGUGGGAGCAGGCACUUCUGAGCCUGCAGGGGCAGGGGCCCUUACUGGCCCCCGAGAGUAGGUCUGCAGCAGCAGCUAGGCGACUGCAGCUGUGCCUGGAAGGGUGGGGCUUCCAUCCUGCCAACUCGGAAGGGGCUGCGCCUCCUGCCUAUUCCUGGCUCCUGCCUGGAGCACACAGCCCUGGCCUUGCCUCCAGUGCUGCAGCCAGCGUCUUCACAGCAGCUGCUCGAGAUGGGCAGCCACUGCCAUCAGAAGUCCAAAACAAGAAUCCCUGAGUGGCAAUUCCUGGAAGAGGCCAGCCCUGCCAGCACUUCCCAUCAUGUGAAGAGGCUCCCAGUGCUGGUAGAUGGAGGGAAGACUACAGUGUUACAACUCCUUUUGCACACAUUAUUUGGUGGGUUCUGGGUUCUUGUCCUGUGUCCAAGAACGAGGUUACAUGGACAACUGAAGAGUGAGCAAGGUGGAGAAGUUUCAUUGAAUGAUAAAACAGCUCUCGACGUGAAAGGUUAUCCGAAGUGGGAAGCACCUACCUGAAGGUCAGUAGUCCCUGUUUGUGGCUGAUGCUAGGGUUUUUCAUGGGCUCAGAAUGGGGAAGUGCAUGCUGAUUGGUCCAUGGGCAAGCCUGGAAAAAGCACCAUUCAACUUGCUAAAAGGCAUAGGGAAAGUUCUCACGCUAGGUGGUGGACUGUAACCAGAACUGGCAUCCCAGUUUUCAGGCUUCAAGCUGUCUUUGCCUUGAAGAUCAGGUUUCACCACAGCCCAGCUCAUAUCUGCCUAGGAAUUUGUCUGCCUCCUGCUACUAUCAUUAGGACUUCCACAUGUGAGUUUUGAGAGAAUACAAACAUUCAGUCUAUAGCAGUACACACACACACAUACACACAAGUUUUAAAAAAGCACAGAAUGCCAAUACUAGAGAUAAAAGCUGAAAUAAAUGAGAUAGAGAAUAGAAAAGGAUGCA